AUUGAACGCUGGCGGAAUGCUUUACACAUGCAAGUCGAACGGCAGCACGGGAGCAAUCCUGGUGGCGAGUGGCGAACGGGUGAGUAAUAUAUCGGAACGUGCCCAGUCGUGGGGAUAACGUAGCGAAAGCUACGCUAAUACCGCAUACGAUCUAUGGAUGAAAGCGGGGGGAUCGCAAGACCUCGCGCGAUUGGAGCGGCCGAUAUCAGAUUAGGUAGUUGGUGAGGUAAAGGCUCACCAAGCCGACGAAUCUGUAGCUGGUCUGAGAGGACGACCAGCCACACUGGGACUGAGACACGGCCCAGACUCCUACGGGAGGCAGCAGUGGGGAAUUUUGGACAAUGGGCGCAAGCCUGAUCCAGCAAUGCCGCGUGCAGGAUGAAGGCCUUC
rnacentral:rRNA from 1 species